rnacentral:rRNA from 1 species
UUGCGCUGGAGGUGGAUGCCCAGCGGCACCUACACAGCACAAUCUUGCUAUGCCGCGACAUUCCAUGGAUCCACGAGGUGCCCCUCUUGGAAGCUGACAUGGAAGAGUUGGGCACCGCCGCGUGUCCGGUUCUUUCACUGGCUUGCCAACCAGGACCGCUGCUGGACGGCGACACACCUAGCGCGCCACGGCCUGCCACACCACCGAAGAUGCCUCCUAUGCGAUCAGGCCCCUGAGACAAUCCAGCACCUGCUCCUGGCCUGCCCAUUCUCCAGGCAGAUCUGGCACGCCAUCCUGGACUGGACACGCAUCCCCUUGCAGCCACCGAACAGCGAGCCGACGCUCAUGGACUGGUGGCAGAAAACGAAA